rnacentral:rRNA from 1 species
UACGUAGGGUGCAAGCGUUGUCCGGAUUUAUUGGGUUUAAAGGGUGCGUAGGCGGUCUGUUAAGUCAGUGUUUAAAUUUUGCAGCUCAACUGUAGGUAUGGCAUUGAUACUGGUGGACUUGAAUAUUAUAGAGGUAGCUGGAAUUUAUGGUGUAGCGGUGAAAUGCAUAGAUACCAUAAGGAACACCGAUAGCGGAGGCAGGUUACCAUGUGAUUAUUGACGCUGAGGCACGAAAGUGUGGGGAUCAAACAGG